UGGACAACAGCCCCACGGUGGACAACAGCCCCACGGUGGACAACAGCCCCACGGUGGACAACAGCCCCACAGUGGACAACAGCCCCAUAGAGGACAACAGCCCCACAGUGGACAAUAGCCCCAUACAGGACAAUACUAUAGUGAAGAACCCUACAGUGCAGAACACAACAGACAAGGACACUAUAGAGAAGGACACUACAUUGAAGAACACAACAGACAAGGACACUAUAGAGAAGGACACUACAUUGAAGAACACUUCAGAGAAGAGCACUAGAGAGAAUGCCACUACAUUGAAGAACACUACUGCCAACUCUACAGAGACACUGGAUGUGGACACCGUCAACGGGAACAGCAUAGAUGUCAAUGACAACAGGAGUGAUGUGCAGCACUGCAACAGCCAGAACCAGGACAGCCCAGCCAAGCUGCACCACGUCAUCCAGCCAGAACAGGCUACCAGCUAGUGACCCGGCUCCUCACGCAUCCGGUUCUGCCAAGACCGCCCUCAUAAAUCUGCAUGCUGCUGAUCAGUGACCUUCUGAGCACCCUCCUCCCCCCUUUCCCAGUAAUACUGUCUCUCUCCCUCUCCUGCCCCCCUUUCCCAGUAAGACCGUCUCUCUCCCUCUCCUGCCCCCCUUUCCCAGUAAUACCGUCUCUCUCCCUCUCCUGCCCCCCUUUCCCAGUAAUACCGUCUCUCUCCCUCUCCUGCCCCCCUUUCCCAGUAAUACCGUCUCUCUCCCUCUCCUGCCCCCCUUUCCCAGUAAUACUGUCUCUCUCCCUCUCCUGCCCCCCCU
rnacentral:lncRNA from 1 species